CCGAUUUCCAUUUGUUGAAGCAUUCUACUUUGCCUAUUAUGGGAAUCAUUUGAAACAGAAACAGUAAUUUUGGUGAUACCUUGAUUGCUCUGGAUUAUCAACUUCUGGCUUUCUUUGUGGGAACAAAAAGACAGUACCAGAAAAUGCGCUACCCCAACAGAUACAAACUACAGUAUUAGCAGUGUGAAGUAGAAAUGAAAGAGGGUUAUGCAAGGAUUCUCAAAAAGCUGCAGAAAAGAUAGCAAACAGCAGUCAACCUCACAAGUGUCCAGGAAAAAUGG